rnacentral:rRNA from 1 species
UACGUAGGGGGCAAGCGUUGUCCGGAUUUAUUGGGCGUAAAGAGCGUGUAGGCGGCCAAGCAGGUCCGCUGUGAAAACUCGAGGCUCAACCUCGAGACGUCGGUGGAAACCGUUUGGCUAGAGUCCGGUAGAGGAGAGUGGAAUUCCCGGUGUAGCGGUGAAAUGCGCAGAUAUCGGGAGGAACACCUGUGGCGAAAGCGGCUCACUGGACCAUAACUGACGCUGAUGCACGAAAGCUAGGGGAGCAAACAGG